CACGUAGGGGGCAAGCGUUGUCCGGAUUUAUUGGGCGUAAAGAGCUCGUAGGCGGCUCAGUAAGUCAGGUGUGAAACCUCCAGGCUCAACCUCGAGACGCCACCUGAUACUGCUGUGGCUAGAGUCCGGUAGGGGAGCGUGGAAUUCCUGGUGUAGCGGUGAAAUGCGCAGAUAUCAGGAGGAACACCAGCGGCGAAGGCGGCGCUCUGGGCCGGUACUGACACUGAGGAGCGAAAGCAUGGGGAUCAAACAGG
rnacentral:rRNA from 1 species